rfam:Gossypium arboreum cultivar AKA8401 contig_8094_11, whole genome shotgun sequence.
AUGCGAAGGUCCCAGCAGAUAGGUGAGAACUCUAUGAAUUGAGACCUUUCUAACAAGUAAGCAUAAAAAUGCCUUCGCAAAUUAAAUUUUGCCGAAUCGUAGGAUGCCCAAUUAAUCCAUUUUUGGAGCGUCUGGAACCCUCGGCUACAUUCAC